GAAAUGCGAUAAGUAGUGUGAAUUGCAGAAUUCAGUGAAUCAUCGAAUCUUUGAACGCACAUUGCGCCCUUUGGUAUUCCAAAGGGCAUGCCUGUUCGAGCGUCAUUUGUACCCUCAAGCUUUGCUUGGUGUUGGGCGUCUUGUCUCUAGCUUUGCUGGAGACUCGCCUUAAAGUAAUUGGCAGCCGGCCUACUGGUUUCGGAGCGCAGCACAAGUCGCACUCUCUAUCAGCAAAGGUCUAGCAUCCAUUAAGCCUUUUUUUCAACUUUUGACCUCGGAUCAGGUAGAGAUACCCGCUGAACUUAAGC
rnacentral:misc_RNA from 1 species